rnacentral:rRNA from 1 species
GGUUAGUGCAAUGGCAUAAGCCAGCUUGACUGCGAGCGUGACGGCGCGAGCAGGUGCGAAAGCAGGUCAUAGUGAUCCGGUGGUUCUGAAUGGAAGGGCCAUCGCUCAACGGAUAAAAGGUACUCCGGGGAUAACAGGCUGAUACCGCCCAAGAGUUCAUAUCGACGGCGGUGUUUGGCACCUCGAUGUCGGCUCAUCACAUCCUGGGGCUGAAGUAGGUCCCAAGGGUAUGGCUGUUCGCCAUUUAAAGUGGUACGCGAGCUGGGUUUAGAACGUCGUGAGACAGUUCGGUCCCUAUCUGCCGUGGGCGCUGGAGAACUGAGGGGGGCUGCUCCUAGUACGAGAGGACCGGAGUGGACGCAUCACUGGUGUUCGGGUUGUCAUGCCAAUGGCACUGCCCGGUAGCUAAAUGCGGAAGAGAUAAGUGCUGAAAGCAUCUAAGCACGAAACUUGCCCCGAGAUGAGUUCUCCCUGAGACUUAA